rnacentral:rRNA from 1 species
UAGAUACCCUGGUAGUCCUGGCCGUAAACGAUGGAUACUAGGUGUGGGAGGUAUCGACCCCUACCGUGCCGGAGUUAACGCAAUAAGUAUCCCGCCUGGGGAGUACGGCCGCAAGGCUGAAACUCAAAGGAAUUGACGGGGACCCGCACAAGCGGUGGAGUAUGUGGUUUAAUUCGAAGCAACGCGAAGAACCUUACCAGCCUUGACAUUGACUGAAAGCGCUAGAGAUAGUGCCCUCUCUUCGGAGACA